AGAACGCAUGCUCUAACUGCUGCCAUGGCAACGAAUGGCCACCGGAAAGGGAAGUCGUGGAAACUAAGUGGCUGCCAACCGGCCUGGCCCUGAACAUGUGAACUUAGCGACGUUGACUCUGAAUGCAAGACACAAGGGAUGCAGUUGAAAGGAAGAAGUUGAUGGGGUUGUAUCGACUUGGAAUGACCACAGAGUCCAUCAAGUCCACAACUCUCGUUCACCUCAUGGACGUCCCUCCAUAUUACAUGCAGUCCCUCAGCUGUACGGAGGCAGAGACUAUUUGCAGAAUGUGGACCUGGAGAAAGUUGAAGUCUGCCUUGAAGAGUGUUUACCCGAACUCCUUCAAAAGAUGGAAGAUUUGAAGAGAUCAGUAGUAACCCAUUCCCCUGCUAUCAGUAAGGAAAGACAGGAACCCCUUACAGAGUUCAUAUCAACACCGCCAGUACAUGUUCGAGCACAGAACACUCUUUGCUCAUCACAGUCUUUGGCAGUGACGCCCACUUCAUCUCGGCCUGCGACCGAGUUUGAGAAGUGCUUUCGCAAUUAUUUUCAGUACCAUCUCACUUCAAGUUAGAUUGAUUGCUGAAGAAUUGAUAAUUAUUAAUAUGUGCAGCACCUAGCUGCUUGGCCUCCAGUGUGGCAAGAGUGCUAACAACCGACAAUUCGAUUCUAAGGUCGGAAAUUUCCACUCUGUGCCCCUCUUUCUCAUCUCAUCUCAUUAUCUCUAGCCGCUUUAUCCUUCUACAGGGUCGCAGGCAAGCUGGAGCCUAUCCCAGCUGACUACGGGCGAAAGGCAGGGUACACCCUGGACAAGUCGCCAGGUCAUCACAGGGCUGACACAUAGACACAGACAACCAUUCACACCUACGGUCAAUUUAGAGUCACCAGUUAACCUAACCUGCAUGUCUUUGGACUGUGGGGGAAACCGGAGCACCCGGAGGAAACCCACGCGGACACGAGGAGAACAUGCAAACUCCGCACAGAAAGGCUCUCGCCGGCCACGGGGCUUGAACCCAGGACCUUCUUGCUGUGAGGCGACAGCGCUAACCACUACAGCACCGUGCCGCCGCCCCUCUUUCUAGAUCUCCCAAUUAUGAUUGCAUUACCAUUAUGUUGACCUUGGAUUUGGGGUGUCUGUAAAUGCUUCAGAUUUACAGAAUGUGAGCAGAGUAGAUUUAAGGAAAACUACAUAUACCAUAUGUGAAACAGUGUUUUCCUGAACUGAGCUGGCUGAUUGUAGUGUAACGGGGAAGAAGUCCAAUGCCUUCAAGGAUCAAACUGAAAGACCCAUGUUGGAUGAAAACAAAGUUUCUGUUGUCAUAUACUUUGUGAAGAGACUUCAUCCAGGGAGUGAAGAAAAGAUGAUUAAGAAAACCAUUGGUGCAAAACUCAACAUUUGUCAAAAACUGGAGCGAAGAAAAAUACAGAACACGACUUACUUCAGAACAAUUUUGCUAUGUUUUAAUCCAACCAUUCCUUUAAUUUUUGAUCCUUUUUGUAUAGCUGUUUUAAAACUUUUAUGAAACAUUUUCUAUUUUCCUGUUGACUAUAAAUAAAUAUUCAGAUUGCUUUUAUCA